rnacentral:rRNA from 1 species
CGCGGGCCCGCUUCCAAGUGCGUCUGCGCGCCGGCCACCCAUGCCGGGUCCUUCAAGUGCCGCUUCCACCGCACCAACUCCCAGGGCCACGGCCAGGGCCGGGGAAGCUGCCCUUCUUCGCCCCCUUCACCGGCCGCGGCCAACGCGGUGCCGCGGCACCCAGCCUCGCCGUCCUCGUCCUCCGGCACCGUCGCGACCCAGUGA